rnacentral:rRNA from 1 species
GACGUAGGGGGCAAGCGUUGUCCGGAAUCAUUGGGCGUAAAGCGCGUGUAGGCGGCCCGGUAAGUCCGCUGUGAAAGUCGGGGGCUCAACCCUCGGAUGCCGGUGGAUACUGUCGGGCUAGAGUGCGGGAGAGGCGAGUGGAAUUCCUGGUGUAGCGGUGAAAUGCGCAGAUAUCAGGAGGAACACCAAUUGCGAAGGCAGCUCGCUGGAACGUUACUGACGCUGAGACGCGAAAGCGUGGGGAGCAAACAGG